GGACCUGUAGCUUAAUUGGAUAGAGCACCAGAUUACGGCUCUGGAGGUUGGGAGUUCGACUCUCUCCAGGUUCA
rnacentral:tRNA from 2 species